GGGUGAUUAGCUCAGUUGGUUAGAGCAUCUCGUUUACACCGAGAGGGUCGGGAGUUCGAGUCUCUCAUCACCCACCA
rnacentral:tRNA from 1 species